GACGAACGCUGGCGGCGUGCUUAACACAUGCAAGUCGAACGGAAAGGCCCUGCUUUUGUGGGGUGCUCGAGUGGCGAACGGGUGAGUAACACGUGAGUAACCUGCCCUUGACUUUGGGAUAACUUCAGGAAACUGGGGCUAAUACCGGAUAGGAGCUCCUGCUGCACGGUGGGGGUUGGAAAGUUUCGGCGGUUGGGGAUGGACUCACGGCUUAUCAGCUUGUUGGUGGGGUAGUGGCUUACCAAGGCUUUGACGGGUAGCCGGCCUGAGAGGGUGACCGGCCACAUUGGGACUGAGAUACGGCCCAGACUCCUACGGGAGGCAGCAGUGGGGAAUAUUGCACAAUGGGCGGAAGCCUGAUGCAGCAACGCCGCGUGCGGGAUGACGGCCUUCGGGUUGUAAACCGCUUUCGCCUGUGACGAAGCGUGAGUGACGGUAAUGGGUAAAGAAGCACCGGCUAACUACGUGCCAGCAGCCGCGGUGAUACGUAGGGUGCGAGCGUUGUCCGGAUUUAUUGGGCGUAAAGGGCUCGUAGGUGGUUGAUCGCGUCGGAAGUGUAAUCUUGGGGCUUAACCCUGAGCGUGCUUUCGAUACGGGUUGACUUGAGGAAGGUAGGGGAGAAUGGAAUUCCUGGUGGAGCGGUGGAAUGCGCAGAUAUCAGGAGGAACACCAGUGGCGAAGGCGGUUCUCUGGGCCUUUCCUGACGCUGAGGAGCGAAAGCGUGGGGAGCGAACAGGCUUAGAUACCCUGGUAGUCCACGCUGUAAACGGUGGGUACUAGGUGUGGGGUCCAUUCCACGGGUUCCGUGCCGUAGCUAACGCUUUAAGUACCCCGCCUGGGGAGUACGGCCGCAAGGCUAAAACUCAAAGGAAUUGACGGGGCCCCGCACAAGCGGCGGAGCAUGCGGAUUAAUUCGAUGCAACGCGUAGAACCUUACCUGGGUUUGACAUGGAUCGGGAGCGCUCAGAGAUGGGUGUGCCUCUUUUGGGGUCGGUUCACAGGUGGUGCAUGGCUGUCGUCAGCUCGUGUCGUGAGAUGUUGGGUUAAGUCCCGCAACGAGCGCAACCCUUGUUCACUGUUGCCAGCACGUUAUGGUGGGGACUCAGUGGAGACCGCCGGGGUCAACUCGGAGGAAGGUGGGGAUGACGUCAAGUCAUCAUGCCCCUUAUGUCCAGGGCUUCACGCAUGCUACAAUGGCUGGUACAGAGAGUGGCGAGCCUGUGAGGGUGAGCGAAUCUCGGAAAGCCGGUCUCAGUUCGGAUUGGGGUCUGCAACUCGACCUCAUGAAGUCGGAGUCGCUAGUAAUCGCAGAUCAGCAACGCUGCGGUGAAUACGUUCCCGGG
rnacentral:rRNA from 1 species